GGCUGCUUCUUAUUUAACUGGAGCCAAGGACUCACUCAGAAGUUCCAGGGCUAAGCGAUCCCUUGGCCUGCCUCACACUGACCUUGAGCUGCAGCAUUUACCCAGCCUCUUGUGAGUGAACUCCAGCAGUGAGCUGCUAUUCAUCACAUCCUGUGGUAACAUCCCCUGCGUCCCUCUUCCAUUUCCUUUUCUCUGGAGACACUAGUGCCUGUGCUGUUUCAGGUAAUGGACACUCAAAUGCCUCUUUUAGACUCUGAAAAUCGGAUGGGGCAACCCCUCACCUCUGAGGCUUAGUGGGCUGUUAUUUUAUAAAUAACAUGUUUGUAUAAAUGAUUAGUGCUUUAUAUUAUAUUCCACCUUGGGUGAAAAAUAGACUUUGCUUUAAAAAAAAAAUCCUUCUGACUAUACUUCCUCUUAGAGUUCUAAACUCUGCACUUUUCAAAAGAGUCUGUACUUUUGGGCCUAGCAAGCAGAAAGAGGGGAGUGUCUCUUGAUCUGGGGACAAACAUUUCCCUAAAAUUCUCCUGGUAGAAAAAGAACUCGAAAUAGAAGUGAAAGUGAGUUGCCGAAAAAUAAGAAAAGUUAUAUUUCUUGCCCUUCUGAGUUUGUGAACUCACUGGCUACCUGCUUGAUAUUGAACUAGAUAUAUGGUGGAUAUGUGCAGAUUAGAGCUAUUAAACUAGAGUAUAGAGAGAACAGACUCACCAAGAUGAAAAAGUAAAAUCAUUGAAGGGGUUGGAAGGUCAACAUAAUAACACAUAAAACAGAUUUUCAUCUGGAAAAGGGACAUCUCUAGAGACUGUUCAUACAAGGGGGCUUAUUCAAAGAGAAAGGACAGUCAGCUCUUUUCUCAGCAAGCAAGAAGGCUGGGCUAAAAUUUCAGCAAGCAUGAUUAUGAGUCUGUUUUAGGGGAUACUUUCAGGUUAUAAAUUAAAUGUAGCUCUCCGUGGUGUAGAAAAGCUUGGAAAAAGUCUUUUCUGACAACCCCAGUGGGAGAUUCAGGACAUGAUUAUUCUGAUGAAAGGCACAGAUCCGGCCAGAUGUCUCUGAGUAGUUUUUCUUUUCUUUUCUCUUUUUCCUGCCUAAUGAUCUAGGAAUAUGCCUACAAUUUUGAUACUAUGGGAGAGGAAUUCCAAUGCUGGGUCUGCAACUAAUUGGCUCUGAGCAAGAUUCUUAUUCACUCUCACCUCCAUGCCUCAUGUAUAAGUAAGGGUGACAGCAUGUCAUACAUAUAAAUCCGUAAACACCAUGGUGAUGAGUGAGGUGGAGAGUCUAAGAAUAGUCUGAUAUCAAAUACAGGAAUGUGAGGAAAAAAGAAAGUUCUACUUUCAAGGAAAUUUGCUACACAAUUUGAACAGAAUCUGAUAAACACCAAAGUACAUAUUAUAGAUAAAAUAAGCAUUUCUUUUUAAGUUACUAAAUGUCAUGCGCUUUAUAUAAGCUAACAGAAAACAUAAUUCAAUAAUCAUUUAAAUGUAGUCUGCGUCUUAAAAAUAAUUUGGUGAUCACUGGUCUCGUGUUGAGACAGGAGCCAGGAUAAUAAUUACUUAGACUUUUUUGUAUUUGUGGGGCACAUGCCGAAAGUUGUUUAUACAUUAAAACUAUAAUUAAGCUUUUACAUUAAUGAAGCAGUAAUUAAAACUUUGGAACUGCCCCAGGUGUUUCUGUGGCUAAUGUAAGCUCAUGUUUGAUCUUAUUUUUCUCUCCGCGGCAGUCACAAGGCUUAAGGAUAUGGGAUGAGGGUUUAAAAGAAAAUAUAAACAAUUUUAAAAACAGCUACAACUUCGGAAGCUAUGGAAAGCUUAUCUUCCCUGUUUUCCUGAGUCUUUGAUGAUUAAUACAUUUAGAGCCAAAUUUAAGGGCAUCGCUCUAGUCCUACUGAAUCAGAAUCUUUGAGGUUAACUUCGCACAUCUGUGUUUUGUUAAUCUCCACCAAUGACAAUGAUGGGCAGCCAAUGUCAAAACCCACUGAUUUUAAAUAAUAUAGUGUGAUGUAAGGGGCAUUACUGUGAGCUCUGCACUAUUCUAGGUCCUGGAGAGACAAUGAUUAUCAGAGCAGACAGGGCUCUGCUCUCCUGAAGCUUUAGAGACACAUGAUGAGCAGGUGAGCAACAACUGACCUGGCUGUGAUAGCGCGAACAGGGCAAUGUGAUGGAGUGACUGGAGACAGGCUUUGUCACCGUGCAAGACCAACAAUGGUCCGAGAAGUUGCAGAAAGCCUCUCUAAGAUGGGUCAGUACACUCGGCCUUAAGAAGGAGUUGCUAUGUGACAUUCCAGAAUAAAACAGAUUUCCAGGGAGCCGUAACAGCUCGGUCAGAUGCCCUAAGGGUAAAACCUGCUUGGUACAUCAAAGGAUCAAAAAGAUGCCUGUUGACUGGAGCAAGACAACAAUGCAAUUUGUUCAGUACCAUCAGAGAAUUUCAUCACCCGCAGCAGUUUGGUGGCCUGUGAAGUUCUGCCAUCACAGAGAGAGCACCAAAGGCAAUAAUUCACAGAAAAGCUGCUUGGGACUUUUGCAACCAUUCUUCAGUCCACUGGUUCUCAGCUAUUUUUCCACCCCGAUAUUCCUGAGGACUAUGGCACACCUAUGAGGAACAGUGACUCCGUGUGACAGGAACAGACACACCCACACCCCACCCUACCCAGAAAGCAUAUCAGAAGAGGGAAAAGGAAAGGAUGAGGGAAAGGAAAGGGGAAUAUAAACAUAAGCAGUUUGAACAAAAAAGUUCCUAAGUCCUUCUGCUAUACCCUAUCAGGACAGGUCUUAGCCACAGCUUCCAUUCCCCCAACUUGAAAAUCAAGUAUCAUUUAAGUGGAUGGCUUUCAGAGUUAGAGGGGCCUGAACCUAGUCCUAGCAACACAAUUAUCAGUGGAGUGAUCUCAGUCAUCACAUUUAGCUUCUCUAAGCUUCACUUUCCUCAUCUGCAAAACAGAGAAGAUAAUAGUAACUAUCUCAAACAGCUACUUGGAGGAUUAAAUGAGACUAAAUUGUAUAAACCGUUGGGCACAAUGUUUAACACAUGAGGAUAAUAAAUAGAUGUGAACAAUGAUUAUUAACAACCAGCCCUUAUAAUUAAAUGUUUGCUAAGGAGGACACGGAUGCUAAUCAAACCUUCCAAGAAAUCAGGUGGGACACUUGUGAUAGAUCCAACUGUCAUUGGGCUUUAUCAACAAAGUAUAUGUGCAAGUCAGGUGCAGAUGUGAGAGAGGUGAGUCCAUGCGGGUCAGUGCAGACUCAGGCCCGCCACCAAAGCCGACCAUACGCAGCAAAGUGCUUGGUUGGUAUUUGGAACCACGACUAAUGUUCCCUUUUCUUUCUGGGUUCUUAUUAAUUCAGAAAAGGGGGCUCAGCCCUAGUUGGAAAGUCAACACAGGGAACAAAAAACUGAUGCUGAUUUUCUUAGGAGUUAAGAUGGGGCUCUCUGUUAAGGGUCUACUUCCUGCCCCAGGACUUGCUGGCAGAUAAAAUCAAGGGCUCUCUGGCAACAGCACAUCCCCUGGUGGCCAGAUGAUGUCACUGCAAGUUUUUCUCCAUUAAAAGAACAGAGUAUGAAUGAGUCACAUCACAGCUGCAAUUUUAUUUCUCCUACCCGGGAUAGACUAUGUUCUAAGCUACCAGCAAGUACAUUCUGGGAUCCUGCUGAGGCAACACCAGAUUAAAAAAAAAGUUUUUUAUGUUGUUCUCAAAACUCUGAUUGCUGCAGAUUGAACCCAAAGAACUUUAUUCUGCUCAGGUCAGCCGGGUUCUGAAACUCUUGGCAUUAAAAGCAGGUGUCAGUAUGGCUGGGUGACAAUCAUAAACCUACAGUUAAAUGUCUGGUGUCCUGAGUGCCAGGCUCAUCAGGAAAACAAAAAUUUCCACUUGUAGUCAAAGCCAACCUCAGCCCCUCCCACUAUUCUCCUACAACAAAGGCCCUAAGGGAACAGUGAGGAGAGAACAUGGUUUUCUUUCCCCGGGCAUCUACAGAAGCUAUCACGAAAGCUGAUAUGUCAGGGUCCUUCAUUCAUAAUUUUGUUCAAAUCUUUUGAUUCUACUUAGAUUAUGUUUUAGAAUAGCAAGGUCCAUAUGCUAUCAUACAGUAUGAAUACUGGCUCUUUUUAAUUUCUUCUUGAACUUACCUUGUUAAAAAUAAUAAUAGCUCGUAAUGACAAGGUAUGUCAGUGCCCAAUGAACAGAAGGGAGGGGGAGAAAAAACAGAGGUAUCUGGAGGCCACUGAGGACAGGGAGACAUUCCACAGUUGUUCACUUCUUCCUUCGCUCCCAGCUCUCUCUCCUCAGAUGAUAGGGAGGUAAACAUGCUUAGAGUUCAUUUGGUACACUCAGAAUAUCUGCACCCUUUUUCUCUAUUUUGAUGAACUAUAUGCCAGGAUAGCCAGCCAAGUAGAAAACACUGCUGUUCUUGCACAUCUACAAUGCCGCACAUGAAACAUUACACAAUGGGUAGGUUUCUCUGCACUGUUUCAGUUAGAAGAAAGAACACAAUUCACCCAAUUUUAAAUACAUCGUUAUCCCUUCACCAUUUCUUUUCAAAAUCAAAGAAAAGGAAUUAAGUCCAUAUUUUGAUGGGAGCUGGGAAAAAAAAAACACAUUUGGCCUCUCUCUUCUUCAUUUAGAAAAGGAAAAGUUUCUUCCUUUCACAGAAACACAUCAAGCAAGUGGACAAUGAGCAACACACAGGUGCAAAAGCCAAAGGACAAUUUGUUCUUCUGCAAAAUCAUCCACCAGGAAAUAAGGCUAAGAGUAUUACUGAGAAUAAAGAAAACAUGGCUGGAACAAAAUAAACAACAACACAACUCCACAGCAAGAAAAGAAAACCCAAGAUCAGCAAGGAAUGAUUCAGUGUAAGAGAGAAAUGUUAACUGUAGUUAUGAGGACAAGUCAAUUUAAAAUCAUAUUAAGAUUCCACAUAAUGUUAUAUGAUAUACAAAUCACUAUAGUCAAUAUAUAGAGUGAAGACAAGACAACCUUAUUGCUAUUGCAAUAAUGGUGCCAUUGUUUCCUUAAUGUGGCAACAGAGAAUGAUAUAUUCAGUACAACAUACUCUAAAGCAGGGGUCCCCAAUCCCUGGGUUACAGACAGUCAGGAACUAGGCCAUGCAGCAGGAGGUAAGUGGUGGGCAAGCCAGCAAGGCUUCGUCUGUAUUUACAGUGGCUCCCCAUUGCUUGCAUUAUAGCCUGACCUCUGCCUCCUAUGGGAUCACUGGCAGCAUUUGAUUCUCAAAGGAGCACAAAUCCUAAUGUAAACUGCACAUCAAGGGAUCUAGGUUGUUCGCUCCCUAUGACAAUCUAAUGCCUGAUGAUGUCACUGGCUUCCAUCACCCUCAGAUGAGACCAUCUAGAUGCAGAAAAACAAGCUCAGGACUCCCACUGACUCUACAUUUUGGUGAGUGGUAUAAUUAUUUCAUUAUACAUUACACUAUAAUAAUAAUAGAAAUAAAGUGCACAAUAAAUACAAUGUGCUUGAAUCAUCCCAAAACCAUCCCCCGACCUUGGUCUGUGGAAAACCUGUCUUCCACAAAACUAGUCCCUGGUGUCCAAAAGGUUGGAGACUGCUGCUGUAAAGCCUGCUGGGACAGUUUUCAUGGCUCUGAGUCUCAUGGGUUCCUGUCAUCAGUUUGGUUAUUGCAGUGACUCCCGCAUGCCACUAACUUCAGUAGUGUUUUCAGAAAAAAAUAACCUAGAACCUAUGCAGAAAAUGGAGCACCAGGGACAACAGUCAGCUUCAUUUGAGGCUGGUCACAAAAUUGGGGUCAUAUUUUGAGAGUUCUACAAACUAAGACAGGCAUUCCUGCCAUUCACAAUGUCACAGCUGGUAGAAAUUCUUCAAAUUAUGAUCAAUAUAGUUCACAGGAACUAUUUCCAGUGGCACGUUUAGUUACUUGGAAGUUGUCUUCGGCCGUAGAAAGACACGGCAAAUGUCUUAGAAGCAGAUAGCUAUAUCUAUACUUCCUUCUAUCCUAACCACCAACACUCCAGUGUUGGCAGAGAAUUCUAGUAAAGAAAGGAAAGUGGAAGGAUGAGUUUUAGGAGUACCUAUAAUUUGACUUUCUGUGUCUCAACAUACCCUUUUUGGUUUUGUGUUUUGUCAAACCUAAGUUAUUAUUGCUAUUGCUUUUAUUUUAUAUUCUUCUCUGUGUGGUGCAUACUAACCAAACCUAAAAGCAAAAAUGGCUCAAUUUACUUCAAAUACUCCUGUAAAAUAAAAUCGAGUUCCUUCAAUAUCAGAUUUGGAACUACUUCAGAGUGAAAGGAAAUAACAAUGAGAAUAGUGAAAGGAGGCUCAUGGAAAAGUACCAGGCAGAGAGAGGUUGCCAACCUUUCCCCUUGUGAUGAACUAUCUUUUGACAACACCCACACAAUCAAAGGCAUCAGUGUUAAUCAUUCAGAAAAAUAAGUUAGGUUAAAAAAUAAAGUAAAUGGCAGAAUAGAAAAGGCUUUGUUUCCCUAGUGAAUAUUUAAAAAUGUUUCUUAUACACAUCUUAAAUUAGGUAUAUUGUAAAAGAGGCCAUAGGCAGAGUCCAAUUUCCACUGGCUUUUUGAAAUUCUUUGCUCCCAAAUCUGGUUAGAUGUAACACACUUUAUUUUACUUUGCAGUCAAAGUAUGAGUCAGAUUUUCAAACACUUCCACUUUAAAUACCUGUAUAUAAGUCACCUGUGUUCUUAUGACCCACACAAAUCCUGUAUUUGGAACAGUGUACAACUGAUCUCUACUGACUCUAUGAAGAAUUAAUUAGGCAAUAUGCCCAACCGGGGUUAUUAUUAUAAAAGAAUAUACUUAAGUGUUGCUUAGUUUCAUAUGGAAAUUCUUCUUCCAACUUCGGCAUAUUAUUUUAAAGCCUAAAUGCGAUUGGAAUCCAAGAAAGCUUAGGGCAGAGUUGAAAUCAAUUGAGAUGCCUUCUAUUUAUACCAAGAUAACCAGUCUUCUCAUGUCAGUCCCAACUGUAGGAAACAUCGUUAGCUAAAGCAUCUACCACAGCAGUUAAAAUUUCUUUGCCUCUAGCUUAAGCUAAUUCUCUGAAAGUAUUGCAAUGCUUUUGCCCAAGGCAAACUUAAAACUACCUUAAGGAACCUGCUAUCAGAAAGUCUUUCACAUAAGCUGACCUUAUUGGCAUAUGUGAAAUGAAGCAAAACAUGCCUAGGUCUGUAUUUGACCUCACUGAGCAACUGUCUCUCCAGUCCAGUGAAAAUCUUCUGAUCAUGGAAUGCCAUGCAUGCCGCUUUGAUAGGAGUCCUUUGAUGCAGUAUGUUUUCAAACUGCAGGUCACUACCCCAUUUAGUGGGUCACUAAGUCAACUCAGUGUGCUGUGAUCAUUUUUUACAUGAUAAAAUAAAGUAGACUAGAAGAGAGUAGAAAUUGUUUGGAGUGCAUAUGAUAAGAACAAGUAAUGUUUCAUAAAAUUGUGUUCAUUAUUUUAUAUGCACACACACAAGCAUCCACACACCAACACAACUCAAUGUGAUGUAAAACGUAUUUGUUACCCUGUGUCAAUUUUUGAGAAGUCUGAAAACCACUUCUAAGAAGGAUAUUUAAUUUUAUUGUUUCACAUAACAUCUAAAUGUUCACAUACUACCAAUCUAUUCUCUCUUUUCAAGAAGGUAAGGGUGGGAGUAAACAGGAUGGGUGCACCCACUUUUAGCUACACUAAGAACACAGCCGUGGGAGGAAGAAUCAACUCUUACUAGGUGAAGAAGACAGAUCCACUGAAGGAUAAAAAUGUGCCUUUCCACUUGGAUAACAAGCUGAUGACGUGGAUAUCUUAACAGAGGAGAGAAGCGCUGUAAAGUUUCCAUUUGAGUCAUUGAUUUUUUUCCAAAUAUGGUAACUGGUUCCAAAACCUAAGAAGCUGAAGGCUUUGGUAGAAUGUACUAAUUAAUAUAUGCUUGGCUAACUAUGAGAUACUCCCAUUCAAUAGGUGAUGCCAUAAAACCAGGGCCUCUUCUCAAUAGAAACUUCUAAGACAAGAUCUCUAUUAAUUAUUCUUAAAUGUAAACGCUCUCCCACUCUCCACCACACCCCCCCCAGCUAAUGCUGUGUUCCUUGACAUCAUGAAAAAAAAAAUCUGAGCUUAAUUUCCCAGUGUUUGAGAGGGUAGUUUAACUAAUAUCUUCUCUUUAAGGGGGGGAUUACAAAUAAAAGUGCAUCUGACACUUUCUGGAUUUAAAAUAAAACAAGAUUUCAUUUA